UGAUUUAUGGAUUAUCAUCUUAACAUUGACACCUCUACACAUAUCCGAGAUUUUUGAUAGUAGGUUUGGUUAGACAAUUUUUGAUCUGGGAAAUUUUUGAAACUUUCUUCCGCGCUCUAAACUUUUUCAAAACAAAUUCUGGUUCAAGUUUUAAACUUGUGAUAUACUCAUCCCUCUCUAGAUCUAGGCAUAUCAUCUAACUAGUGGUAUCAUGAGCUCUUG
rnacentral:lncRNA from 1 species